UACGGAGGAUGCGAGCGUUAUCCGGAUUUAUUGGGUUUAAAGGGUGCGUAGGCGGGAUGCCAAGUCAGCGGUCAAAUACGGGGGCUCAACCUGCGUCCGCCGUUGAAACUGGCGUUUCUUGAGUGGGCGAGAAGUACGCGGAAUGCGUGGUGUAGCGGUGAAAUGCAUAGAUAUCACGCAGAACCCCGAUUGCGAAGGCAGCGUACCGGCGCCCAACUGACGCUGAAGCACGAAAGCGUGGGUAUCGAACAGG
rnacentral:rRNA from 1 species